GAAAACUGCACCUGAAACCAAACCACCAUAGUGACAACAGGAUAUAUCAAAGAUGGCGAUACACGGUGGAAACCGCCGAGCCAAUCUCCACCAGCACUUUCAAAGAAACGUCUACAGAAGGGAAUAAAAACAACAUCAAGAUGAGAGCUAUCGAAUGGAUGUUUAUGAUGUCCAAACCUGCAGCUGGUUUCCCGUGGUGUCAGGAGGACAAGCAAAGUGCAUCUGCCCUCUAGGGCAAGAGAAUGCUGGCUGAAUGGAGAGCAGAACAUAACCGCUGCGUUGCCAAGGUAACAUGGAACAGUAAACCACCACGGAAAGAAAGGGAACGAGGGACGGGUGGAUGGCAGGACAGGUAGGAGUGAAAUAGGAGAUCGGUGGUCACCCUCUGCAUUCAAGUGCUCGGUGUGUGUAAUCACCCGUACGCCGAGGAUUUGAGGGAAACCCCGCUUCAAGGACACAAAAGAACGUGCUCCUCAAGGUGAAGAUCACAGUACAGUGUAGUUUGUCAUAUUGUGCGGAGUAAGAGCUUAGCUGAGUUUACGAUGAUCUUGUCCUUGAAGUGUGUUUUGAGUUCCUUUAUGUAGUGCAUGGUGUUUGUAUGUUGACUCAACAACUGUCAUAUUUGUAUGAGAUUUAACAUGGAUGAAUGAAUAUUUUACGACACUAAACUUAAGUCUUAAGGGGUUAAAGUCAACAUGAAAUGCACUUUGAAGCUCAUUUGACCUCCAUUAUCUGAUGUCAUUUCUGAGUGAAACAGGAUAUUCAAUGAGGAAACGCAUAGGGUGAGGCUGAUUUUAUCCAUUGGGAAUUGAUUGGACUAAGAAAAGUGGGCGUGACAUACCAGAAAUUACCAGAGCAGAGGGGCUGAAAUGUUGGAUUCAUAACGUCAUCCGGAAAGUUGUCAAAAACUAUUAGAAAGACAAUCCUUUUCUAAAAAUUGGAUUAGAAUGCACAGAGGAAUCAUGCACAUGAACACUAGGAAUGAAUAUUAUGAAAAUAUCCUGGGUUACACUUUAUUUAAGUCUUUUGUUACAAUGUAUUUAUAUAAGUACUGAGUAAUAAUAAUUAACUACAUGUACUUACUCUAGGGUUAGGGUGUGGUUUAGGAUUACUUGCAUGUGAUUAUGCAAAAUUUAUAGUAAACACCAUAGGGCAGUGGUUCUCAAACGUUUUCAUUGUAUGUAGAGUGUAUCGCUUUGCAGUCCCCAAAUAAAGACUUAUAAUCCUAAACUUAGAAUUUUUAUUAAACCAAAAACAUGUUCAGUUAUACAGUGGUUGGUGGUGGUCUUAUUUUUCUGAUGUUUGAUUGCUUAAAAUGUAUGAUAAAUUUCUAAAUUUCACAAAAUCUGUGCCCCCCCCGGAUCCAUCUUGGGGCCCCGGGUUUGAGAACCACUGCCAUAGGGUGAAUGAAAUAUUCUCACCAAAUUUUUGUUUUCUUUUUUGCAUAUAGUUUGUUGAAAAUCUGAUGGUCUUUGGAACUGAAGACUGGCGUGCACACAUAGCCCAUCCCUGCUUCAUGGUACAGCAAUCAAAGACAAAUUGAUCUCAUUGUACGGAGUGAAACUUGAUUAUUUACCAUUUAAUCCACUUCUUAAAUCAUUAAGGUCCAACCCCUGUCAUUUCAUUGGAUAAUAGAAAAUCCCACAAUUUACCUGAUAUGGCUUCUCUGUAGCGCUCUGGACUUUUUUUGUGAGUUAACUACAUAACCUUCAAGCAGGGUUGGACUUUUGCCAUUUCCUUUUUAGAAAUCAUUACAAAAACUGUCAUCCUAGUCACGAAGCUUGAAUUUAUCCUAAUAAUAGUGUACAUAUACAGUAACCUCCACUACAGCAGAUCUUGUGUGUUUGUAUAAAGUUGGUUAUUUAGUUUUGGAUCAACGGUUAUUCCU